rnacentral:rRNA from 1 species
AGAGUUUGAUCCUGGCUCAGGAUGAACGCUGGCGGUCUGCUUAACACAUGCAAGUCGAACGGGAUCCUUCGGGAUUUAGUGGCGGACGGGUGAGUAACGCGUGAGAAUCUGCCCUUAGGUUGGGGACAACAGUUGGAAACGACUGCUAAUACCCAAUGUGCCGAGAGGUGAAAGGUUAACUGCCUGGGGAUGAGCUCGCGUCUGAUUAGCUAGUUGGAGUGGUAACGGCACACCAAGGCGACGAUCAGUAGCUGGUCUGAGAGGAUGAUCAGCCACACUGGGACUGAGACACGGCCCAGACUCCUACGGGAGGCAGCAGUGGGGAAUUUUCCGCAAUGGGCGAAAGCCUGACGGAGCAAGACCGCGUGAGGGAGGAAGGCCUAUUGGUUGUAAACCUCUUUUGAUAGGGAAGAACACAAUGCCGGUACCUAUCGAAUCAGCAUCGGCUAACUCCGUGCCAGCAGCCGCGGUAAUACGGAGGAUGCAAGCGUUAUCCGGAUUUAUUGGGCGUAAAGCGUCCGUAGGUGGCAAACCAAGUCAGUUGUUAAAGCGUAGAGCUUAACUCUAUAAGGGCAAUUGAAACUGGUUAGCUAGAGUGCGAUAGGGGCAAGGGGAAUUCCCAGUGUAGCGGCGAAAUGCGUAGAUAUUGGGAAGAACAUCGGUGGCGAAGGCGCCUUGCUGGGUCUGCACUGACACUGAGGGACGAAAGCUAGGGGAGCGAAAGGGAUUAGAUACCCCUGUAGUCCUA